AUUGAACGCUGGCGGCAUGCCUUACACAUGCAAGUCGAACGGCAGCGCGGGGCAACCUGGCGGCGAGUGGCGAACGGGUGAGUAAUAUAUCGGAACGUACCCUGGAGUGGGGGAUAACGUAGCGAAAGUUACGCUAAUACCGCAUACGAUCUAAGGAUGAAAGUGGGGGAUCGCAAGACCUCAUGCUCCUGGAGCGGCCGAUAUCUGAUUAGCUAGUUGGUAGGGUAAAAGCCUACCAAGGCAUCGAUCAGUAGCUGGUCUGAGAGGACGACCAGCCACACUGGAACUGAGACACGGUCCAGACUCCUACGGGAGGCAGCAGUGGGGAAUUUUGGACAAUGGGCGCAAGCCUGAUCCAGCAAUGCCGCGUGAGUGAAGAAGGCCUUCGGGUUGUAAAGCUCUUUUGUCAGGGAAGAAACGGYGAGCUCUAAUACAGUGGGCUAAUGACG
rnacentral:rRNA from 1 species